GCCCCCGUAGCUCAGUGGAUAGAGCAUAGGAUUCCUAAUCCUUGUGCGCAAGUUCGAUUCUUGCCGGGGGUACCA
rnacentral:tRNA from 1 species